rnacentral:rRNA from 1 species
CAUCCUCGGCUUGGACUGGCACCCACCAGACUUGCCCUCCAAUAACACCAUUGGAGGGCAAGUCUGGUGCCAGCAGCCGCGGUAAUUCCAGCUCCAAUAGCGUAUAUUAAAGUUGUUGCAGUUAAAAAGCUCGUAGUUGAACUUUGGGCCUGGGCGGACGGUCUACCUAUGGUAAGCACUGUUGCGGCCGGGUCUUUCCUUCUGGCUAGCCCUCGGGCGAACCAGGACGAUUACUUUGAGGAAAUUAGAGUGUUCAAAGCAGGCCUUUGCUCGGAUAUAUUAGCAUGGAAUAAUAGAAUAGGACGCAUGGUUCUAUUUUGUUGGUUUCUAGGACCAUCGUAAUGAUUAAUAGGGACGGUCGGGGGCAUCAGUAUUCAGUCGUCAGAGGUGAAAUUCUUGGAUUGACUGAAGACUAACUACUGCGAAAGCAUUUGCCAAGGACGUUUUCAUUAAUCAAGAACGAAAGUUAGGGGAUCGAAGAUGAUCAGAUACCGUCCGCACUUCAGUG